rnacentral:rRNA from 1 species
UGCAUCGAUGAAGAACGUAGCAAACUGCGAUACUUGGUGUGAAUUGCAGAAUCCCGUGAACCAUCGAGUCUUUGAACGCAAGUUGCGCCCGAAGCCGUUAGGCCGAGGGCACGUCUGCCUGGGCGUCACGC